GAUGAACGCUGGCGGCGUGCCUAACACAUGCAAGUCGAGCGUGAUUUAUGAGGACGAAACUUCGGUCUAGGAAUCAUAAUGAAAGCGGCGGACGGGUGAGUAACGCGUAGGCAACCUGCCCUUGACACAGGGAUAGCCUCGGGAAACCGGGAUUAAAACCUGAUAACGCCAAAGAGUCACAUGGCUCUUGGGCCAAAGAUUUAUCGGUCAAGGAUGGGCCUGCGUCUGAUUAGUUAGUUGGUGGGGUAACGGCCUACCAAGACGACGAUCAGUAGCCGACCUGAGAGGGUGAUCGGCCACAUUGGAACUGGGACACGGUCCAAACUCCUACGGGAGGCAGCAGUGGGGAAUAUUGCACAAUGGGCGAAAGCCUGAUGCAGCAACGCCGCGUGAGCGAUGAAGGCCUUUGGGUCGUAAAGCUCUGUCCUUGGGGAAGAAACAAAUGACGGUACCCAAGGAGGAAGCCCCGGCUAACUACGUGCCAGCAGCCGCGGUAAAAC
rnacentral:rRNA from 1 species